ACUUGGUGGCGGCCUUCUUGGGUGACUUCUUCUCUUUGCCCUCCUUGGCGGCGGCGGCAGCGGUCUUCUUUGGGAGCAACACAGGGUUGAUGUUGGGCAGAACCCCGCCAUGCGCGAUGGUGACGCCGGCCAGCAGCUUCCCGAGCUCCUCGUCGUUGCGGAUCGCCAGCAGUACGUGCCGCGGGAUGAUCCGGUUUUUCUUGUUGUCCCGCGCUGCGUUCCCCGCCAACUCGAGGACCUAAAAAUAGGAAGGAGGGACGAAGCGAGGCGACGCGAGACGAAUCAGGUCUUCCGCGUCUUCCGCGACGGGUGGGAAAUGGGUGGGCUCCGACUGACCUCGGCGGCGAGGUACUCGAGGACGGCGGCGAGGUAGACGGGGGCGCCGGUGCCGAUACGCUGGGCGUAGCGACCCUGCUUGAGGUAGCGGCCGAUACGGCCGACGGGGAACUGGAGGCCGGCCUUCACGGAGCGAGAGACCGGCUUCUUCUUCGGGCCGCCGCCGCCGCGACGCCCUGCCGCGGCCUUCUUCGGCACCUUUGCUCCGGCAUCCAUCUCCGAUAAAGCCCCC
rnacentral:lncRNA from 1 species